rnacentral:rRNA from 1 species
GAGCUUGCUUUUCUGAUGACGACCGGCGCACGGGUGCGUAACGCGUAUGCAACCUACCUUAUACUGGGGAAUAGCCAGAAGAAAUUCUGAUUAAUGCCCCAUAGUAUUUAUUAACCGCAUGGUUUUGUAAAUUAAAGAUUACGGUAUAAGAUGGGCAUGCGUCCUAUUAGCUAGAUGGUAAGGUAACGGCUUACCAUGGCAACGAUAGGUAGGGGGCCUGAGAGGGUGAUCCCCCACACUGGUACUGAGACACGGACCAGACUCCUACGGGAGGCAGCAGUGAGGAAUAUUGGGCAAUGGAGGCAACUCUGACCCAGCCAUGCCGCGUGCAGGAAGAAGGUUCUAUGGAUCGUAAACUGCUUUUAUUUGUGAAUAAACUCUCGGACGUGUCCGAGCCUGAAUGUAGCAAAUGAAUAAGCACCGGCUAACUCCGUGCCAGCAGCCGCGGUAAUACGGAGGGUGCAAGCGUUAUCCGGAAUCAUUGGGUUUAAAGGGUCCGCAGGCGGACUUAUAAGUCA